AAGGAUCAUUAUCACACCAUCCAAACCUUACGUCCCCGUGAAUGGGUGCCAGGUUGAGUCUGCCGACACAAUGGCAGACUUGGCCUGCGUGCCAAACCUAACAUAAACAAAAACAAACAGGUGCUGUGGUGGGUUGGUGUGGGCCUUGCGGCCUGCGCUAGCUAACCCGGUGCCGCCCAACACGAAAUGAAAGCAUAACUGAACCAAAACCGCUGGUAGGGGAGGCACCCUUGGGUGUGCUCGCCAUCAGCUGUCGAAUUCAUUACAACUUUCAGCAAUGGAUGUCUUGGAUCCCACAACGAUGAAGAACGCAGCGAAAUGCGAUACGUAAUGCGAAUUGCAGGACCUCGUGAAUCAUCAAAAUUUUGAACGCACAUUGCGCUUUUGGGUCAUGCCCAAGAGCAUGCUUAUCUGAGUGUUCCUGAACCCCACUCAGCCGCUGGUGCUGCACGAGAGUGCACAUGAGCGGGCUGGACUGUGACAGUGCGGGCUGACGCCAGCUCUGUUGAAAUUCGUAGGUUUGUGGUUGUGCCUAGCACGGUCCCGAAGCAAACACAGCAAAAGACUUGGUGAAUGCACUGACGUGUGUUUCAUGUCUGGAGUUGUGGUGUGGAUGGCUGCUGCAGGGCUGGACUGUCAGACUGGGGCCUGUGUGGUAAGAAGCACACGCCCGCAAUGAAGUGAAACUCAUCUAUGAAUCUCAGAUUAAGUAAGACUACC
rnacentral:rRNA from 1 species